rnacentral:ncRNA from 2 species
UGAACAUAGUUUGAAUCAGGUGUCAGCGACUUAAUAGAAAAGUUGGUAGAAGCCAACGCGGUCCCGCCACUGUAACAGAGAGUUCUUCGGCAUAAGCCACUGGAUAUUCCGGGAAGGCGCCGAAGGAUGAUGACCUGGAGCCAGGAGAACUGCCUGAUUGACAAUCACCGG